rnacentral:lncRNA from 1 species
UCUAUGAAAAAAGUUUUAUAUCCUUAAAUUAUUUUUUUUGGUUUAUACUAAUUCUCUUUUAGCCCUUUUAAUCACCAAGAUGAAUUGACACCCUCUUAUCUUAUUGUGGAACAAGUGUAACAAAUGUGACAUAUAAAGCCGCACAUAUCUUUAUUUAGUAGAAUCCACUGGAAUUAAAAACACAAGACUCAGAACAACUCUUUAAUACUACUUCAUUCACCGGUAUUGGCUUGCUAAUUCACCCUCCUUCACAAUGUAGUUCUGUUGAGGAAAGUCUUCCCCCUUGAAGUGCCUCUCAAGCAUAUCUUUAACUCCAGCAGCAUAGCGUAACUGAACAAGUUUCAAUCAUCAAAAUCAUCAGUAGUUCACAAAAAAAUGUACUUAAAAAUAUAGCCAAAGUAAAAGGCUAUGCUAAUGUCUAGAGAAUGUAGUCUUUCAUUUUUAACAUUUUUUGUUUCGAUGUAUUCUUGCAUGUUCUAAAACAUUAACAGUUUUCUGGAUUCAAGCAUCCACGCAGUCAUCACAUUAGUAGUCCUUGGAUCGAGACCAAAAGGUCCUUGUAGACAAUUCAAUGUCUAAUCGCAACCCAACGACCAUAUAUAUACUCACUGUGUAUAUAUACUCACUGUGUGGAAUUGCUAACCGCAGGCAAUACAAAUUCGGCAAUACAAAUUCGUCUAUGACAUGCUUGCAUUUCUCCUUGUAGAUGAGGCAACUUGUGUCUCAAGUAAUGUUUAGGAACAUGUUACACUAAAUUGAGAAAAAUAAUAAUUUAACGGACCACCUUAAAACUAGAAAUUAAGAUAAAGGACUAAAGUGAAGUAGUUUUGUCAAAACUAAACUACCUGUGCAUCUAUGGUGGUUCCAGAAAUAUGAGGAGUCAUGGCAUGGUUUGGCAUGUAGCGCCAUGGAUGAUCUUUUGGAGCUGGUUGAGGGAACCAAACAUCACCACUGUAACCUAUAAGAUGAAACUCAGCUGUUACAUUACUUCAAACAUAGUUCAAAUGAAAUUCAAGUGUUACAUUUUAGGAUUAUGUUUUGUUUGGAAAUACUAUAUUUGCCAGCUGGUUUUAGAAUUACCUCCAAUGUGUCCACUAGAGCAAGCAUCAGCAACUGCUUGUGUGUCCAUAAUUGCCCCGCGAGCAUUGUUAACAAUCAAGACACCUUUCUUCAACUUAGCAAUUCUAUUUUUGUCAAACAAUCCUCUGAAUCACAAACAUAACACAACAGAAACUUCAGUCACCAGUGGGUGUAAACUCAACAGAAGCACUUAAACACAAGUUGUGAUUUGUAACUCUGAACUUGAAUGAUAGAAUGACAUUGCAGCCACUCUAGGUGGAGACCUAGGCACCAUUGGCCAAACACCGUGAACAAAAUUCGUGUGUUCCCUAUUUCAAUUUUACAUUUGUUUACUUUUGAGCCAGGAUUGUUGUUUAAACAGCCACCACACCAUGUUUCACCAAUAAAUCACAAUGCAUGGAAUAUACUGGAGUAGCUAUGAAUUUCUCUUAUACUACUGAUUUCAAGUGUCCAAAAUUACUUCAACAAAAAGGUAUUAGUAUUAAA